AAAAACGGCCAUGCCACCCUGAAUGCGCCCGAUCUUGUCUGAUCUCGGAAGCUAAGCCUGGUUAGUACUUGGAUGGGAGACCACCUUGGAAUAUCGGGUGCUGUAGGUG
rnacentral:rRNA from 1 species